GCCCCUGUAGCUCAAAUGGAUAGAGCACCCCGCUCCGGACGGGGUUAUGGAGGUUCAAAUCCUCUCAGGGGCA
rnacentral:tRNA from 1 species